UCGGGAAUCUUGCACAAUGGGCGAAAGCCUGAUGCAGCAACGCCGUGUGAGCGAGGAAGGUCUUCGGAUCGUAAAGCUCUGUUGUUGGGGACGAAGGGCGAAGGGUUAAUAGCCCCUAGCCUGACGGUACCCUUCGAGGAAGCCCCGGCUAACUACGUGCCAGCAGCCGCGGUAAUACGUAGGGGGCGAGCGUUGUCCGGAAUUAUUGGGCGUAAAGAGCGUGUAGGCGGCCUGGUAAGUCUGCUGUGAAAGGCUGGGGCUCAACCCCGGACGUGCAGUGGAUACUGCUAGGCUAGAGGAUGGUAGAGGCGAGUGAAAUUCCCGGUGUAGCGGUGAAAUGCGCAGAUAUCGGGAGGAACACCAGUAGCGAAGGCGGCUCGCUGGCCCAUUCCUGACGCUGAGACGCGAAAGCAUGGGGAGCGAACAGGAUUAGUUACCCCCGUAGUCC
rnacentral:rRNA from 1 species